UAUCUAUGAGUCCUCGAGAUAGACUAUCCUUCGAUACUUCGACUUUAAGAAAGGGAGAAAAUAUAACCUCGUUAUCUGAGGUCAAUCAAUUAGCAAGAUAGGCCACAACUUGGGACUCAACAAUCUCCCCGUCCAAGUUGAAAUCUCCUGCGCUGACUCUUUUUUGAAUCCGAAGGCCAAUAAGCAGGGCGUUUUAGGCUCUUCUCUCAUCGCUGAACCAGAUUUUCAUAGGCAUAACUCUGAUCUUCUCUAACAAAUGCAGAACUUCAUCUCGAGGCAGCUUUAGAAAAGAUAAAACUCUGGAUGGAAGUAAUGACUCAAAUUCAGCAGAUCAGACGCUCUCCUUUGGUUUAGAUUGCUCCUUUACUAACCUCCCAACCUACACAGUGUUCUCGCACUAUAAGUUUUCUAUCUUUGUACACCACUAAAGUGAAUCCCAACAAAACCCUUUCCUUUUAUAUAAAAUUAUGUUCCCUCAGCUCUUAGUUUUUCAAUCUUAAAGGCUUGUUGAUCAGGGACCUGCACAGGGACUGAACGAUCUCCUACAAAAAUUAGAGUUUUCUCAAGACGGGAGCAUUUGGACAAGUCAACUUUUCUCUUUUUAAAGGCCCACCAAAGACUCUGCAACUAAAAUGCUAUCCUAAAAAAGGUAAUGCAAAAUCCUUAUCAUAAGAGGAAGAAUUCCCGCAAAAACAUUGUUGAAAGUCAAAAUUACUCAUCUUGGUAGCAUCAUGAGCACAAUCAUUGAUUAGGAAUCCUGUCGAGGCGACAUUUUCCUGACUCUUUGGGAGACAAGUUUCUAGAAAAAGACAUAAUUAAAUGGUUAAAGGUUUUAAAAAGUCCGUAGUCCUGCUAACAUGAUACGAAAUUGAACAACCAGAGUUUCCUUUUUAUUACAUCAUAGCCUCCAAAAAUGGGUAAAAAAUUACAUGGUAUAAAAUUAAAAAGUCUGUUACAAAACACAACAAAUUCAAAACUAGGAUAAAUUGAGGCCAAAAGAUGUGUGCCAUUAUGGAAGCCACACCCCCAUAUCCAAGAUAUGUCAAACUCGAGGACUUAUGGGUUGCCAGAAUCCUAAAAGGGAAAAAAGUGUUACAUAGGCCAACUCUUUUUAUGCUUGUAACUAGCUCUGCCCGUGAUGAUCAACAACUUAAGGGAGGAUAAAAAGGCCCUCAUAAAUACUCUAGAAAGAAAAGAACCCAUAGGACAACUACCCCUAUCUUAUACAUACAGUGUCAUGUAACUCAACAAAUGCAAGAAGGCUGCAAGUAGGUCAAGGUUCUCCCCGUCUCAGGUUCUCUUAUUGAAGGCUAAUGGGAGUACCUCAUAUCACAGUCUCCACAUAGUAGCAAAACACCUUGAUUGGUACUUGCAUCCUAGUCAAGGUGCCUUAAGGAUAAGUUUCUGGCAUGCCUAAUGAUGGAAGUCUCGACACCCUCAAUAGAGGUUAGGGUUGUUGAGGAGGGGAAUAGUGGUUGGGAUGUUCUCUGCCACCCUCACCUCUGGCCUUCCCAUUGUUGUUACCUUACUCUUAUCAUAAAUUCGAGCAUGUAUAAUAUAGACAGUUCACCAUAAUCAAAGACAAGAAUGAGGAAAGGACUAUAGGAAAAACAAAGGGCGAGUAUAGUCGUCCUAGAGGGCAUCCCAUUGGAAGACUUCUCUUUUUCUUUCUACUCUCUUAUUUUCUUCUUCUUUUAGCUAUAUGAUAAAAAGGCAAGAAAUAUAUGAGGGUGAGGUUAGGAGGCACAAUUUUUAAUAGGUAAAUGCCCAUUGAAUGAGUGAGAAGUAAAAGGCCUCAGAUCCUUGUAACAUGGACAACCAAUAACGUGAGAUAUAACAAGCCUAAG
rnacentral:lncRNA from 1 species